rnacentral:rRNA from 1 species
GAUGAACGCUAGCGGCAGGCUUAAUACAUGCAAGUCGAGGGGUAGCAAGAUUGUAGCAAUACAAUUGUUGACGACCGGCAAACGGGUGCGGAACACGUACACAACCUUCCUACAAGUGGGGAAUAGCCCAGAGAAAUUUGGAUUAAUACCCCGUAACAUAGCGAUGUGGCAUCACAUUGCUAUUAUAGCUUCGGCGCUUGUUGAUGGGUGUGCGGCUGAUUAGAUAGUCGGCGGGGUAACGGCCCACCAAGUCUACGAUCAGUAGCUGAUGUGAGAGCAUGAUCAGCCACACGGGCACUGAGACACGGGCCCGACUCCUACGGGAGGCAGCAGUAAGGAAUAUUGGACAAUGGACGCAAGUCUGAUCCAGCCAUGCCGCGUGAAGGAUAAGGUCCUCUGGAUUGUAAACUUCUUUUAUAAGGGACGAAAAAAGGUCUUUCUAGAUCGUCUGACGGUACCUUAUGAAUAAGCACCGGCUAACUCCGUGCCAGCCGCCGCAGUAAUAC